rnacentral:rRNA from 1 species
UACGAAGGGGGCUAGCGUUGUUCGGAAUUACUGGGCGUAAAGCGCACGUAGGCGGAUAUUUAAGUCAGGGGUGAAAUCCCGCAGCUCAACUGCGGAACUGCCUUUGAUACUGGGAAUCUUGAGUAUGGAAGAGGGAAGUGGAAUUCCCAGUGUAGAGGUGAAAUUCGUAGAUAUUCGGAGGAACACCAGUGGCGAAGGCGGCUAACUGGUCCGUUACUGACGCUGAGGCGCGAAAGCGUGGGGAGCAAACAGG